GCUCCCUCCCAGCUCCCUGUCACCCAGUCCAUGUUUUUGCUCCCUCCCAGCUCCCUGCAGGUCCCUGAGGACUGGAUUAGGGCUGCUCUGCCCAUCGUGUUUGAGUGUGUCUGCAAUCAUGUGCCCUGGGAUAGCAUAGCAUUCCACUCUGUCUGUCCCAUGCCAAGCCUCCAGGCUUACAGUGACCUGGCAGAGGAUAAGCAGCUAUGGAGAAUGGAUGGAUGGAUGGAUGGAGUUUAUCAUAAUGCAUGUAUAUUAUAUAAUGCCGGUGCAGUGGGUAACUGAGCUCCCUGCGUGUGGCGCUUGCAUGUCCUACUGCUGCUGUGCAGCUUCGUUUUGGGGACUCUGGUCUCCGCCUGCAGCCCAAAGGCAUGCAGUUAGGCGAAUUGGCAAUAUGUGCAUGUGUGUGUAUGCAUGUGUGUGUGUGCGUGCAUGUAUGCAUGUGUGUGUAUCUGUCCGUGUGUGUGUGCAUGUGUGUGCGUGUGUGUGUAUGCAUGUGUGUGUGCAUCUGUCCGUGUGUAUGUGUGUGUGCGUGUGUGCACAAGCUCUGUGAAUAUACUGGAAUAUACUGGCACCCCCCCAGACCAUCCCCUGCCUUGCUCUCCAUGCUGUCCGGGACCGACUCCAAGCCCCCUGCAUCCCUGUCCACCAUAACUAUUUGGAAGACGGAUGGGUUUUGUUCCCCGUCGGUGAUGUUCGUCAGGAGCUGCCUCCGCUGACUAACUCCGCUGUUCCCUCCCGUGGCUUUGCUGAUUUACCGUUGCUGUUCUACAGAAACGGGGUAAACAGCCUUCAGCUCGUUGAACUCGUUCUCCUCAUCAUCUAGGACAGCGGUCCAGCCCUCACACUUGGCCGUUCAUCGUCCGCCGGCCACUCUCCCAUCUCUUCCAUCUUCAUAGCUGCCUGUUGAUGACUUUUCCUUCAGCCGCUAAAAUGACUCACGCUCUCUGCUGUCGUUCUAACAGGCCUCUUUCUCCCACAAGCUUUUCCAAAUCUACACUGACUCAUGCCUCUUUCUUCCUACUUUUACUGCAUUUGGUUCCCCCUGCGAUUCUGAGGUUUGCACUUCACUCUAGGGCCAUAAAACACAGCCUCACCAUCAGCCCCGAGUAUCCUGCACCCUCUGCUGUUCUCAGCCCCGUUUUCAUACCAAUUACGUCCUUUCUGCUGAACGCUUCCCUCCAUUCAGGCUGCUAACCUUCAGAUUUCAGAAUAGCUUUUGUUAAACGGCCGCUCUUUUUGACCCCACAGAUCGCUGAAUUAACAGCUUGUGUGUUUAUAGAUCUUCUUGGCCUCCCUGUAACCUUUUCUGCAAGCCGUGCAUCACGGUCUUGCACACGUUGCAAAUGCAUUACUAUUGUUAUUAGUUUGUUUGGCCUACCUUUAUUUAAACUCAUGAAAGGUGACAGUAGCUUGCAGAAUGCCACACAUUUGUUAUGCUAAACUCUUAGCGACUUAGUGAGCCUGGAAAAUGUUUGUUUCAUUUCUCUGGCCCGAUGCGAAUCGCUCCUUUUUUUCCCCAGACUCUAUACUCUCAUACUGAAAUUUGUUUUCCUCUUUCGAUUCCCACAUGGCUUUUUUUUUUUCUUGUGCUCUGCAUAACUCCUUGUCCAGAUUGCGCCUCUGCUGGUUUCCUCAGCUUUCCUCGACUCCUUAUUCCUUCUUCAGCUUGUCAGCUCUCCUUUGAUUGGCUCGUGCAUCUCUGCCAUCUUCCUGUUUAUUUACUGGAAAUGCUACUUUAGCGCUUGGCGGAAAGUGCAGCGUUCCGCUCCGCUUUUAUCACUACUCUUUUAACUUUUUUUCUCCAGUGAAUCACUCACCUAAACUUUUUCACUCCUUGCUUUAUACCUGCUUCCUGCAUCCUACGGUGCAAUACGUAACCUAGCCGGUAGUGAACCGUCUGCAUCCGUCACUCCCCCCACGACAUUGAAUUUUUAUUUUUUUUUACUAACUUUUAAUUCCCCCUUUUUUGUCACCUUUAUUUUUUUCUUUCCUUGCUGUCAGCCAUUAGUAGCUGGAUUUUACCCAGAAAUGAGUAAAUAUGCUCCACCAUUACCGCAAUAAAUACUUCGCCUUUGAAGUUGCUAUUUAAUCGUGGUAAUUUAUACCCAUCUUUCACUUAGUGGAAUACUGGGGCAUCCUGAGCGAAGUUGUGCUGUCCGACAGGCUAACUGGCCACCUCUGCUGUUAACGAACCUGCCUGUUAGCCCCCUUCUCCCCUUUUCGUUUUAUUGUGUCAUAAUGGGGCCUAAAGUUGUUUGUAAUAGCAGUGCCUGGUGUCGUAGUUCAGUUAGAAAGAGAAAGAAAAACAGCCCAUCUGAGCGUGGAUUGGAUCACUUUUCACUUUACUCAUUUCACUGAAUGUAAAAAAAAAAAUGAAUGUAAUGAAUAAACAAAAACGAAUCCA